rnacentral:rRNA from 1 species
CCUACGGGAGGCAGCAGUGAGGAAUAUUGGUCAAUGGGCGCAAGCCUGAACCAGCCAAGUCGCGUGAAGGAUGACGGCUCUAUGGGUUGUAAACUUCUUUUAUAAGGGGAUAAAGUGAGGCACGUGUGCCUUUUUGUAUGUAUUUUAUGAAUAAGGAUCGGCUAACUCCGUGCCAGCAGCCGCGGUAAUACGGAGGAUCCGAGCGUUAUCCGGAUUUAUUGGGUUUAAAGGGUGCGUAGGUGGUUUGUUAAGUCAGUUGUGAAAGUUUGCGGCUCAACCGUAAAAUUGCAAUUGAUACUGGCAGCCUUGAGUACAGUUGAGGUAGGCGGAAUUCGUGGUGUAGCGGUGAAAUGCUUAGAUAUCACGAAGAACUCCGAUUGCGAAGGCAGCCUACUAAACUGUCACUGACGUUGAUGCUCGAAAGUGUGGGUAUCAAACAGGAUUAGAUACCCUGGUAGUC